rnacentral:rRNA from 1 species
AAUGAACGUUGGCGGCGUGGAUUAGGCAUGCAAGUCGAGCGAGAAGCUCCCUUCGGGGAGUGGACAGCGGCGAAAGGGAGAGUAACGCGUAGAUACCUACCUUCGGGUUCGGGAUAGCGGGGGGAAACCGCCGGUAAUACCGGAUAAUGUCUCCGGACCAAAGAUUUAUUGCCCGAAGAUGGGUCUGCGUCCUAUUAGCUAGUUGGCAGGGUAAUAGCCUACCAAGGCGAAGAUGGGUAGCGGGCGUGAGAGCGUGACCCGUCUCACUGGGACUGAGACACUGCCCAGACACCUACGGGAGGCAG